rnacentral:rRNA from 1 species
AAGAAAGUAAUUAAGGGCGUACGGAGGAUGCCUUGGCUCUCAGAGGCGAUGAAGGACGUGACAAGCUGCGAUAAGCUUCGGGGAGGUGCAAAUAACCGCUAAUCCGGAGAUUUCCGAAUGGGGCAACCCACCAUACUGAAGGUAUGGUAUCCCGCUUUGCGGGAAGCUAACCCAGGGAACUGAAACAUCUAAGUACCUGGAGGACAAGAAAACAAUAGUGAUUCCCCAAGUAGUGGCGAGCGAACGGGGAACAGCCCAAACCAGCGUUGUUACGGCAAUGCUGGGGUUGUAGGACUGCAAUGUGGACUGUAAAUUCGUAGCAGAACACUUCUGGAAAGUUGGACCAUAGCAGGUGAUAGUCCUGUAUGCGAAACUGAUUUACUACCUAGCAGUAUCCUGAGUACCGCGGGACCGGAGAAAUCCUGUGGGAAACUGCCAGCACCAUCUGGUAAGGCUAAAUACUCCUGAGAGACCGAUAGUGAACUAGUACCGUGAGGGAAAGGUGAAAAGCACCCCGAACAGGGGAGUGAAAUAGACCCUGAAACCGUGCGCUUACAACCUGUCGGAGUCCCGCAUUCGCGGGAUGACGGCGUGCCUUUUGCAUAAUGAGCCUACGAGUUACUCCUCUCUAGCAAGGUUAAACCCGUGUACGGGUGAAGCCGAAGCGAAAGCAAGUCUGAAUAGGGCGCAUAGUUAGAGGGGGUAGACGCGAAACUUUGUGAUCUACCCAUGGCCAGGCUGAAGCUCCGUUAAUCCGGAGUGGAGGGCCGAACCAGUUGACGUUGAAAAGUCUUUGGAUGAGCUGUGGGUAGGGGUGAAAGGCCAAUCAAACUGAGAAAUAGCUCGUACUCCCCGAAAUGUUUUUAGGAACAGCCUCAAGUUUAGUGUCAUAGAGGUAGAGCUACUGAUUGGACUAGGGGGCUUCACCGCCUACCAAAUCCUGACAAACUCCGAAUGCUAUGACAUAUACUUGGGAGUGAGGGCGCGGGUGCUAAGGUCCGUGCCCGAGAGGGAAACAACCCAGACCAUCAGCUAAGGUCCCCAAGCGUAUGCUAAGUUGUUCAAACGAGGUCUGAUUGCAUUGACAGCUAGGAUGUUGGCUUGGAAGCAGCCAUUCAUUUAAAGAGUGCGUAACAGCUCACUAGUCGAGCGAUCGGGCGUGGAUAAUAAGCGGGCAUUAAGCAUAUCACCGAAGCUAUGGUAUUCAUCGUAAGAUGGAUAGGUAGGGGAGCAUUCCAGUUGCACAGAAGGUGUGUCGUAAGGCAUGCUGGAGCGGCUGGAAAAGCAAAUGUAGGCAUGAGUAACGAUAAUGCAGGCGAGAAACCUGCACACCGAAAGACCAAGGUUUCCUGAUCAACGCUAAUCGGAUCAGGGUUAGUCGGGGCCUAAGGCGAACCCAAAUGGGGUAGUCGAUGGAUAACAGGUUAAUAUUCCUGUACUGGCUCUGCUGCGAUGGGGUGACGAAGGCGUGAAAGAUCCGCGUACUGACGGAAUAGUACGUUGAAGGGCUUAGGUAUACGACUGGUAGGCAAAUCCGCCGGUUGUGCUGAAACCCGAUAGUACCGUGAGUCUUCGGACAAGCGGAUAGUGAUCCUAAUCAUACUUCCAAGAAAAACCUCUAAGCUUCAGGCAGAAGCUACCCGUACCGGAAACCGACACAGGUGGUCGAGGAGAGUAUCCAAAGGUGCUCGAGUGAAUCAUAGCUAAGGAACUAGGCAAAAUAGUCCUGUAACUUCGGAAGAAAGGACGCCCGCCGCAAGGCGGGCCGCAGUGAAAUGGCCCAGGCGACUGUUUAUCAAAAACACAUGGCUCUGCUAAAUCGAAAGAUGACGUAUAGGGCCUGACACCUGCCCGGUGCUGGAAGGUUAAGAGGAGGGGUUAGUCGCAAGGCGAAGCUCUGAAUUGAAGCCCCAGUAAACGGCGGCCGUAACUAUAACGGUCCUAAGGUAGCGAAAUUCCUUGUCGGGUAAGUUCCGACCUGCACGAAUGGUGUAACGAUCUGGGCACUGUCUCAGCUAUGAGCUCGGUGAAAUUGUAGUCCCGGUGAAGAUGCCGGGUACCCGCAACGGGACGGAAAGACCCCGUGAACCUUCACUAUAACUUAACAUUGAUGUUGGAUAAACAAUGUGUAGGAUAGGUGGGAGACUGUGAAGCGGCUUCGCCAGGAGUCGUGGAGUCAUCCUUGAAAUACCACCCUUUGUUUAUUUGACACCUAAUCCCGCAACCGCGGGAGACAGUGUUUGGUGGGUAGUUUGACUGGGGUGGUCGCCUCCAAAAAAGUAUCGGAGGCUUUCAAAGGUACCCUCAGCACGCUUGGUAACCGUGCGCAGAGUGCAAUGGCAUAAGGGUGCUUGACUGUGAGACCUACAAGUCGAGCAGGUACGAAAGUAGGACAUAGUGAUCCGGUGGUUCCGCAUGGAAGGGCCAUCGCUCAAAGGAUAAAAGGUACUCCGGGGAUAACAGGCUGAUCACUCCCAAGAGCUCACAUCGACGGAGUGGUUUGGCACCUCGAUGUCGGCUCGUCACAUCCUGGGGCUGGAGA